UACGUAGGGGGCAAGCGUUGUCCGGAUUUAUUGGGCGUAAAGAGCGUGUAGGCGGCCAUACAGGUCAGCUGUGAAAACUCGAGGCUCAACCUCGAGACGUCGGUUGAAACCGUAUGGCUAGAGUCCGGAAGAGGAGAGUGGAAUUCCCGGUGUAGCGGUGAAAUGCGCAGAUAUCGGGAAGAACACCCGUGACGAAGGCGGCUCUCUGGGACGGUACUGACGCUGAGACGCGAAAGCGUGGGGAGCGAACAGG
rnacentral:rRNA from 1 species